rnacentral:lncRNA from 1 species
AUUGGGUUUGUUCCUAAGCUAAAAAUUUGACUUGUAACCUAUAAAUACAUGAUGUAAGGCAUAGAAUAAAGGGAGAAUGCAUAGAUUAGAUUAGAGAUACACUCCAUUAGAUUAGAACAUAAACCCUAGUUUUUAUUAGUUUUUGAGAUUGAAGCAACUUGGAGACCAAUGAAGAAAAAAAGCAGGAGCUUGAGGAAGAUGCAGAUUUGCUG